CGGGGUGCAGCAGGCGCGAAAACUUUACAAUGCUGGCAACAGCGAUAAGGGGACCUCGAGUGCCAGGAUACAAUCUUGGCUGUCGCGAUGCCUAAAAAGCAUUGCAUAGCAAGGGCCGGGCAAGACCGGUGCCAGCCGCCGCGGUAACACCGGCGGCUCGAGUGGUAACCGCUAUUAUUGGGUCUAAAGGGUCUGUAGCCGGCCGGAUAAGUCUUUUGGGAAAUCCAGCUGCUCAACAGUUGGGCUUUCAGAAGAUACUGUUCGGCUCGAGACCGGGAGAGGUGAGAGGUACUUCAGGGGUAGGGGUGAAAUCUUGUAAUCCUUGAAGGACCACCAGUGGCGAAGGCGUCUCACCAGAACGGAUCUGACGGCAAGGGACGAAAGCUAGGGGCACGAACCGGAUUAGAUACCCCGGUAGUCCUAGCCGUAAACGAUACUCGCUAGGUGUCAGCCACGGUGCGACCGUGGUUGGUGCCGUAGGGAAGCCGUGAAGCGAGCCACCUGGGAAGUACGGCCGCAAGGCUGAAACUUAAAGGAAUUGGCGGGGGAGCAC
rnacentral:rRNA from 1 species